rnacentral:rRNA from 1 species
UCUGUUGUAAGAGAAGAACGAGUGUGAGAGUGGAAAGUUCACGCUGUGACGGUAUCUUACCAGAAAGGGACGGCUAACUACGUGCCAGCAGCCGCGGUAAUACGUAGGUCCCGAGCGUUGUCCGGAUUUAUUGGGCGUUAAGCGAGCGCAGGCGGUUAGAUAAGUCUGAAGUUAAAGGCUGUGGCUUAACCAUAGUACGCUUUGGAAACUGUUUAACUUGAGUGCAAGAGGGGAGAGUGGAAUUCCAUGUGUAGCGGUGAAAUGCGUAGAUAUAUGGAGGAACACCGGUGGCGAAAGCGGCUCUCUGGCUUGUAACUGACGCAGAGGCUCGAAAGCGUGGGGAGCAAACAG